rnacentral:rRNA from 1 species
UACGUAGGGUGCAAGCGUUGUCCGGAAUUAUUGGGCGUAAAGAGCUCGUAGGCGGUCUGUCGCGUCUGCUGUGAAAACUCAGGGCUUAACCCUGAGCUUGCAGUGGGUACGGGCAGACUAGAGGUGCGGUAGGGGAGACUGGAAUUCCUGGUGUAGCGGUGAAAUGCGCAGACUAUCAGGAGGAACACCGGUGGCGAAGGCGGCUCACUGGCCCGA